UCCCGCGGCGGCGGGGGAGGCGGGGCUGCCCUCCGUUGCGCCAUGAUGAGCAAAUGACCUCGCGGGGAAUGAAAUUUAAGUUCCACCGUGGGGAGAGAGUUCUCUGCUUCGAGCCCGACCCCACCAAGGCUAAAGUCCUCUAUGAUGCCAAGAUUGUUGAUAUUAUUGUUGGAAAAGAUGAGAAAGGCAGAAAGAUUCCAGAAUAUCUGAUCCAUUUUAACGGUUGGAACAGAAGCUGGGAUAGAUGGGCAGCAGAAGAUCAUGUUCUUCGUGAUACAGACGAAAACCGCAGAUUACAGCGUAAAUUGGCACGGAAGGCUGUGGCUCGCAUGAGAAGAAAGGGAAGAAAGAAGAGACGUUGCAGGUUGCCUGGUGUUGACUCUGUAUUAAAAAGCCUUCCUGCUGAAGAAAAUGAUGAAAGUAGUGAAAACUCUAUAAGUAGUUCUUCUUCUGAUGACAGUGAUGAAGGAACAGAUGAAGAAAUAAAAAGCGAAGAAAGUGACAUAGAAGACAGGGCAGAAAUGAAAGAAGAACAAGACACUCACACAAAAAGGGACAUGGAAGAAAGAGCAAUAAGCAUAGAAAUUCCUGAAGUCUUGAAAAAGAAGCUUGAGGAAGAUUGUUACUAUAUUAAUAGAAGAAAACGGUUAGUGAAGCUUCCUUGUCAGACAAAUAUAAUAACCAUCCUGGAGUCAUAUGUGAAACAUUUUGCCAUAAACGCUGCUUUUUCAGCUAAUGAAAGAUCUCGGCACCAUCAGAUGACUCCACAUGCUAAUAUGAAUCUUCAUUAUGUGCCACCAGAGAAAAAUGUUGAGCUAUGUAAAGAGAUGGUGGAUGGGCUCAGAAUAACCUUUGACUUCACACUUCCAUUAAUUUUGCUCUAUCCUUAUGAACAAGCUCAAUUCAAGAAGGUGACUUCAUCAAAAUUCUUUCUUCCCAUCAAAGAAAACUCAACAAAUACUAACAGAAAUCAAGAGGAGCUUUCCCCAAGUCCUCCUCUGUUGAAUCCACCAACACCUCAGUCAACCGACAGCCAGCCUGCGACAGGGGAGCCAGCCACACCAAAAAGACGAAAAGCUGAACCUGAAAUUCUGCAGUCGCUGAGACGUUCUACACGCCAUAGCUCUAACUGUGACAGGUUGUCGGAAAGCAGUGCUUCCCCGCAACCUAAAAGAAGGCAUCUUGAGACGCCAGCUUCUAUGCCAAAGCUCUUCUUGCACCUGGAAAAAAAAACCCCUGUCCAUAGUGGAUCAUCUUCACCUAUAACUUUAACUCCUAGCAAAGAGGGGAGUGCAGUUUUUACUGGCUUUGAAGGUAGAAGAAACAAUGAACUGAAUGAGGUUUUGUCCUGGAAAUUGAUGCCGGACAAUUAUCCACCAAGUGAUCAACCACCACCUCCCUCAUAUAUCUAUGGAUCUCAACACUUGCUACGAUUAUUUGUGAAGCUACCGGAAAUACUGGGGAAGAUGUCCUUUUCUGAUAAAAACCUAAAGGCUUUAGUAAAACACUUUGAAAUGUUUCUGAGGUACCUCACUAGCAUGCCUCCAGAGACUGCUUAAGUGAUGAGAAAUAACAGGCAAGAAGGUAAAAAACCAAAACAAAAUGGUACAACACUUCAGAAAGCUGUAGGAACCUGUGGUAGAGAGGGAAAUGGCUGCAUUGUGCCCUGUUACCUUUAUGUUCUGCGCAGGAGUAUAAAGCGUUUUUAGCAGAAUACCAUGAUGAUUUCUUCCCAGAAUCUGCUUAUGUAGCUGCAUGUGAAGCCUACUACAGUACUAAAAAUCCUCGGGCAAUCUACUGAAGCUAUUAAUAAAGAUUAAGUCCUGCUGUAUGUAGCCCAUGAUAAUGCUAUUUUUGCCACUUGGCUACAAGAUGAAGAUGAAGGAAUUAAAACAACUUCUGGAGUUGAAAUAGAGAAAUAUCUUCUAUGAUGGUUGGACUACUUAGGAAUGGAGAACUUCUUUUCAGAGAUGCGUAUAAACUGCUUUGAGUUUCUUAGAGGACUGAAUAUAACUCUGACUCCAGAUUAAUGAAGAAGCCUUGUUCUGACUUCUAAUGCAUAGGACUGCAUAGGACUGUUAAAGAGGAAAGGAAGCAAAAGCAGAUGCAUUAGCAACAGGACAUUUUCAUGGAGAUAGAUCAUCGUACUGUGUUUUAUUUUAGCUCAGCCUCUCCAACCUGAGAAAUAAGACUUGACAACGCAGUUAUGUGAAGAGAAUGCAUAACUGGUAUCUUAUGGAUUUUUUCCUCACAAAUUGCAGUUCAGUUUGUGGAACUGUCAUGUAAAGGUUUUUUUGCUGUUUGGCCAGCAUGACAUCUGCCUCAAGAAUAACUUUGUUGCUUGAAUGAAAGAUGUGUUGCUUACUUUGCAUUUUGCGAAGGUGUAUAUAGCUCUUUUCAUGGUAAGGCUGUCAGAGUUCUGAGGAGAGCAUACGUUGACAGUGAUUCAGCAUUUACCUGGCAGUAGAUGUUUUCCAGAGCCAUUAUGAAAGAACUAAUUUUCCACAAAUAACAGGAGAAGUCAAUAAAGUGAUGGCAGUUUAACUGGCAAACACUUCUUGUGUUAAUAAAGUUCACAGCAGCUGCUGUGUAAAUGUGUGA